UUUUUCCUUGCCUGUUUUUGCUGCUCAGGAUUGAACCUAGUCACCAGGCCAUACCUGCUGGGCAGCACCCCUGUUGUGGGGAAGCAGUGCUGAGCUUCACUACCUGGGUCCCCAGCAGUGCAUGAUGGAAAAAGGGCUAUGAAGAGAUGGACUUGACCUGUCUAUCCUGGCCAAAGAAAGCAAGAUGAUCUGAGCAAGAGGAACAAUUCUGAGGUCACAUUGGAGAUUUUUAAGUUGACUGAGAGCAGAAACGAAAUGCGUGCUAAUGAGGAGGCUCCUGGCAGUGUCCAGGCCCUGGGACCCUGAGCGGGAAUGUGAUGCUGGUGCUGCCCCCUGAGCUCCUCGACGGCCUGC
rnacentral:lncRNA from 1 species